rnacentral:rRNA from 1 species
AGUGAACGCUGGCGGUAGGCCUAACACAUGCAAGUCGAACGGCAGCACAGUAAGAGCUUGCUCUUACGGGUGGCGAGUGGCGGACGGGUGAGGAAUACAUCGGAAUCUACUUUUUCGUGGGGGAUAACGUAGGGAAACUUACGCUAAUACCGCAUACGACCUACGGGUGAAAGCAGGGGAUCUUCGGACCUUGCGCGAUUGAAUGAGCCGAUGCCGGAUUAGCUAGUUGGCGGGGUAAAGGCCCACCAAGGCAACGAUACGUAGCUGGGCUGAGAGGAUGAUCAGCCACACUGGAACUGAGACACGGUCCAGACUCCUACGGGAGGCAGCAGUGGGGAAUAUUGGACAAUGGGCGCAAGCCUGAUCCAGCCAUACCGCGUGGGUGAAGAAGGCCUUCGGGUUGUAAAGCCCUUUUGUUGGGAAAGAAAAGCUGCAUGUUAAUCCCCCGCUGUUCUGACGGUACCCAAAGAAUAAGCACCGGCUAACUUCGUG